CCGACUGCUAUUUGGGUGAGGAUAGCCAUGCGAGUCGAAUGGGAUACCUAAAUUUCCCAUGGCGAACUGCUCAGUAACACAUGAUCAACUUACCCUAUUGAGAAAGAUAACCUCGGGAAACUGAGGAUAAUAUUUCAUAGUUGAAUUGGCUUGGAAAAGUUUUUCAACAAAAGGGAUAGGGAAAAUGGUCUCUAUCCGCUAUAGGAUAGGAUCGUGUUCGAUUAUGGUAGUUGGUGAGGUAAUGGCUCACCAAGCCGAUAAUCGAUAGGGGCCGUGAGAGCGGGAGCCCCGAGAUGGGUACUGAGACAACGACCCAGGCCUUACGAGGCGCAGCAGGUACGAAACCUCCACAAUACACGAAAGUGUGAUGGGGUUACCCAAAGUGUUCAUUAUUGAACUGUGGUAGGAGAGUAAUGUCCCCUACUAGAAAGAAGAGGGCAAGGCUGGUGCCAGCCGCCGCGGUAAAACCAGCUCUUCAAGUGGUCGGGAUAAUUAUUGGGCUUAAAGUGUCCGUAGCCGGUUUGGUAAGUUCCUGGUUAAAAUCGGAUAGCUUAACUAUCUGUAUGCUAGGAAUACUGCUAUACUAAGGGCGGGAGAGGUCUGAGGUACUACAGGGGGUAGGGGUGAAAUCUUAUAAUCCUUGCAGGACCACCAGUGGCGAAGGCGUCAGACUGGAACCCGCCUGACGGUGAGGGACGAAAGCCAGGGG
rnacentral:rRNA from 1 species